CGCGUAGGCGGUGAUUUAAGUGAGGUGUGCAAUCCCCGGGCGUUAACCUGGGAGCUGCACCUCAGACUGGAUCGCUAGAGUACUGGAGAGGGUGGUAGAAUUCCACGUGUAGCGGUGAAAUGCGUAGAGAUGUGGAGGAAUACCAGUGGCGAAGGCGGCCACCUGGACAGUAACUGACGCUGAGGCGCGAAAGCGUGGGUAGCAAACAGGAUUAGAUACCCUGGUAGUCCACGCUGUAAACGAUGAACACUUGGUGUGGUGGGAGUUGACCCCCGCUGUGCCGUAGCUAACGCGAUAAGUGUUCCGCCUGGGGAGUACGGUCGCAAGGCUGAA
rnacentral:rRNA from 1 species